AGCAGCCGCGGUAAUUCCAGCUCCAAUAGCGUAUAUUAAAGUUGUUGCAGUUAAAAAGCUCGUAGUUGAAUUUCGGGAUCAAUACGCCGGUCGUGCUUCGGUACGUACUAACGAUAUUGAUUUCUCCCUUCUGACGAACCGUGAUGUCAUUAAUUUGGUGUUACGGGGAGUCAGGACUGUUACUUUGAAAAAAUUAGAGUGUUUAAAGCAAGCAAUCGCUCGAAUACAUUAGCAUGGAAUAAUGAAAUAGGACGUUCGAACCUAUUUCGUUGGUUUCUAGGAUCGACGUAAUGAUUAAUAGGGAUAGUUGGGGGCAUUAGUAUUCAAUUGUCAGAGGUGAAAUUCUUGGAUUUAUUGAAGACUAACUACUGCGAAAGCAUUUGCCAAGGAUGUUUUCAUUAAUCAAGAACGAAAGUUAGGGGAUCGAAGACGAUCAGAUACCGUCGUAGUCUUAACCAUAAACUAUGCCGACUAGGGAUCGGAUGAUGUUAAUUUUUUAAUGACUCAUUCGGCGCCUUACG
rnacentral:rRNA from 1 species